rnacentral:rRNA from 1 species
UGGCUGUUGUCAGCUCGUGUCGUGAGAUGUUGGGUUAAGUCCCGCAACGAGCGCAACCCUUGCCUUUAGUUGCCAGCAUUGAGUUGGGCACUCUAGGGGGACUGCCGAUGACAAAUCGGAGGAAGGUGGGGAUGACGUCAAAUCAUCAUGCCCCUUAUGACCUGGGCUACACACGUGCUACAAUGGGCGGUACAAAGGGUUGCCAACCCGCGAGGGGGAGCCAAUCCCAAAAAGCCGCUCUCAGUUCGGAUUGCAGGCUGCAACUCGCCUGCAUGAAGCCGGAAUCGCUAGUAAUCGCGA